rnacentral:rRNA from 1 species
UCGCCUGUUUAUCAAAAACAUCGCCUCUUGCUAAAAAAGAAGUAUUAGAGGUCCCGCCUGCCCUGUGACCACAGUGUUUAACGGCCGCGGUAUCCUGACCGUGCGAAGGUAGCGUAAUCACUUGUCUUUUAAAUGAAGACCUGUAUGAAUGGCAUCACGAAGGUUCAACUGUCUCCUUCCCCCAGUCAAUGAAAUUGAUCUGCCCGUGCAGAAGCGGACAUAAAAACAUAAGACGAGAAGACCCUGUGGAGCUUUAGGCCAAGGAUCAAACAUGUAAAACAGACUCAAACCCUAAAAAGAAUAAUAAAAGUCCAAAAACCAAGAGUAACCUGAUCCUAAUGCCUUCGGUUGGGGCGACCGCGGGGGAAAAUAAAGCCCCCACAUGGAAUGGAACUACUUCCUAAACCAAGAGUUACAACUCUAAGUAACAGAAUUUCUGACCACCUAUGACCCAGGACAAACAUAAACCUGAUCAAUGAACCAAGUUACCCCAGGGAUAACAGCGCAAUCCUUUCCCAGAGUCCAUAUCGACGAAAGGGUUUACGACCUCGAUGUUGGAUCAGGACAUCCUAAUGGUGCAGCCGCUAUUAAGGGUUCGUUUGUUCAACGAUUAAUAGUCCUACGUGAUCUGAGUUCAGACCGG